UACAGAGGGUGCGAGCGUUAAUCGGAAUUACUGGGCGUAAAGCGUGCGCAGGCGGUGAUGUAAGACCGAUGUGAAAUCCCCGGGCUUAACCUGGGAACUGCAUUGGUGACUGCAUUGCUAGAGUAUGGCAGAGGGGGUGGAAUUCCACGUGUAGCAGUGAAAUGCGUAGAGAUGUGGAGGAACACCGAUGGCGAAGGCAGCCCCCUGGGCCAAUACUGACGCUCAUGCACGAAAGCGUGGGGACAAACAGG
rnacentral:rRNA from 1 species